rnacentral:lncRNA from 1 species
AUCGGAAAAAUUGAACAACAAAUUACACAGGCACGCAAACGCGUAUUUGGUUUGGAGUGUGAAUGAAACGUACUUACCGCUGGUGUCAUGCCAAAAGCAUAAACUUGCGCAAAGAGCUCAUACUUUUGUGAUUACUUUUAUUCCCGUGCAGAUUCAGUGAAUUUUUCCUCCGUAAUGGGAUUUGUGAGGAUUUUAGAAAUGUCCAAAUGGUGCAAACUAAAUUAGGAUUUCUAGGCGCAAACUCACUUCCCACCCCAUCAGCAUCGUCACCGCCAUCAGCUUUAACACGUGUGUUUCGCCGCUGGGCCUUCCGCCGCUGGGCCCAACGUUUCUUUCUCUGCGGUCUACGGCAAGCGAAGUUUGACAGCGCAGUUAUAUCACCACGUGUAAAACCUACACAAUGUACGCUUAUGUGCGCUUCAAGGACGACGGCGUGAAGGUUGUCUGCACGAAGAAAGAAUUAAGAGAUUCUCUCCGUAUAGUAUCAAAGACUUCGACAACAAACAAUGGUACAGUGUACGCUGGGAUGACGAAAACAGCGGAUAUUUCAGAGCCCAGAUUAUGAAGUUGUUUGGUGAGUAUGCUUUUGUUGUUCAUUGUUUGAUGGUGCAAUUUCAGGGACAAUCGAUAUAUGCACAUCGCGUGUACCUGUUUUCAGUAACCAAAGAGGAGGCUGAUGCUUCCGCGGAAAGCUCGAGCAAGAGAUUUUCCUGCCCCCAAAUGCCUAUGGACAGCAGUUUAGAAGGCGACACCGAAGCGAGUGGAGAAUCCUACAGAAAGCACAAAAGAGAAAAACAAGUGCCAAAAUCUCGUGUGAAGGAUACCGAGGCACAGUUUAGGAAAAAACAGCUGGACCUUUUGUUUCCUCUUGAAGCAUGAAAGGGAGGAGAUUGUCUUCGGCAAGAAGUUGUGAGGCUGCGCAAGAUCUUCAAAGCAGAUUUCUUCAGCCACUCCUCGUCCAGAAGUAUCCAUUUAAGGAGGUUUACCUCGCGGUAAAAAUUGCGGACAUCAUGAAGGUACCGACGCCACCAACUCAGCAGUUAACACCACCACCUCAGCAGCCAAAUGAGGAAGGUUAACUGUAGAGGGCUCACCUCACUUGACGAUUUAAAUAAAGUG